rnacentral:rRNA from 1 species
AAUGGGCGCAAGCCUGAUGCAGCAACGCCGCGUGAGUGAUGAAGGCCUUCGGGUUGUAAAACUCUGUCCUAUGGGAAGAAUCAAAUGACGGUACCAUAGGAGGAAGCCCCGGCUAACUACGUGCCAGCAGCCGCGGUAAUACGUAGGGGGCAAGCGUUAUCCGGAAUCACUGGGCGUAAAGGGUGCGUAGGUGGCUUAUCAAGCCAGAGGUGAAAGGCAUUGGCUCAACCAAUGUAAGCCUUUGGAACUGAUUAGCUUGAGUGCAGGAGAGGUAAGUGGAAUUCCUAGUGUAGAGGUGAAAUUCGUAGAUAUUAGGAGGAACACCAGUGGCGAAGGCGACUUACUGGACUGUAACUGACACUGAGGCACGAAAGCGUGGGUAGCGAA